GGUAACAUGAACAGACACAGCAAUAACAAAGCAUGAAGGACACAGCUCCCUGGGGGGCUUGGAGGGACUUCUUACCUUUGCUGGUGGAAGUCUCCUGGUUAAUGUGCAUCUUCUUUGCUGCCUCUGCUCCUCCGCGGAUCUCUCUCUACUCUCCCCCUUUCCUUUGGUCCCAGGGAAACACAAGACAGCCUGCGAGGUGGGCUAAAGGUGGGCUCUCUUGCCACUUUCUAUCAGUUUCCAGUGAGCAGCCCCCUGGGUGGGGGGGGGAGCAGAGGGGGUGCAGGUGGUCUGUUGGAGCUCCUCUGUGCGGCUGAGAGUCUCAAUGAAUGAGGAUCUCUAGAAAGAAGGAACCAGCCUGUGUGUCUCUCUUCCCCCCCCCCUCUCUCUCUCUCUCUCUCUGUCUCUCCCUUCCCUGUGCAUUGCCUCAUAUCUC